GACGUAGGGUGCGAGCGUUGUCCGGAUUUAUUGGGCGUAAAGAGCUUGUAGGCGGUUUGUCGCGUCUGCUGUGAAAAUCCGGGGCUCAACCCCGGACUUGCAGUGGGUACGGGCAGACUAGAGUGUGGUAGGGGAGACUGGAAUUCCUGGUGUAGCGGUGAAAUGCGCAGAUAUCAGGAGGAACACCGAUGGCGAAGGCAGGUCUCUGGGCCACUACUGACGCUGAGAAGCGAAAGCAUGGGGAGCGAACAGG
rnacentral:rRNA from 1 species